CGCGGGUCGCCCCUUCCGCGGCCCUUGGAAGCGGCGGAGGACCCGGGCUGCCACCGCCGCGGCUUAGAAACCUGAACCAACAGCAGACCCUUCAAAAACUCGCUCAGCCCCUAGAGAUGAGAACAAUGAGGAGCAACAUGCCCAUAACCAUCCAGCGAUGUUCAGAGCAUGGAGUCACUAUCACAAACAAUCAAUGACACUGAGCCCUGAACAGUGGACAAUGCAGUGUCUCUCCCAGCACUGGGAGACGCGGAGAAAGAAGAGAAAAAUAUCCACAAGAUUCCUGCGAUCACAAUAGGGACUCAAUAUCCUGAGCUGGGGUGGUCCUGGAGUGAGAAGCUUCAAAAAGAAAAGAAGGAAAAAAUAUGAGCAUAUACAAGGCAACUUGAAGAUGAGAUUAGAAUACUUAGUAAGAUGGAUUGCAUCAGAAGGGUAGAAGAUAAGUAAGAUUAUGAAGGCAUGAAGGCUGCAUAUCCAGACCAUGAAGAACUGUAAGCUGUUGUAACCCUAUACACUGAUGGUUUAAGAAUGAAUUAAACCAUCCCUGAGAUAAAGAGCCUCUAAUCUCUCAUCUGUUCUACAUGAUAGGACUCCAGGACAGCUCUGCAGAGUAUUUGAGGAGCGGAGCAAGGCCAGGGUGUUGUAUCAGGUGGCGCCUGGCCCGUGGUCUUUUUUUUAUUAAAAUCCACGUGAGAGGCUGUGACCCUUAAAGGGUUAAGAAGCCGAUGGGUAAGCCAACUACCUUGCAGGCAAAACCUGCUUUUGUAGCAGUGUUAGCUUACGGGGGGGAAGAUCGACAACUCACCGGCCCAAGGUGGGCGAUCUCAGAACAGACAGACUGCAAAGCACAGCCUUCCAGCUCCUUGGCACUCGCAGAGACUCAGUGGACAGCGAUUACAGUGGUCCUGUCUAGCACUUCACUGGACCUGACGUUGUUGCAUUUCGAACUGUGCUGUGAGUAUUUAGGAGGAUAAAGUCCAAAGGAUGCCACCUUGGAAGUACCUGG